GACGAACGCUGGCGGCGUGCUUAACACAUGCAAGUCGAACGGCAAGGCCCUGCUUUUGUGGUGUUCUCGAGUGGCGAACGGGUGAGUAACACGUGAGUAACCUGCCCUUGACUUUGGGAUAACUUCAGGAAACUGGGGCUAAUACCGUAUAGGAUCUCCUGCUGCAUGGUGGGGGUUGGAAAUUUUCGGCUGUUGGGGAUGGACUCGCGGCUUAUCAGCUUGUUGGUGGGGUAGUGGCUUACCAAGGCUUUGACGGGUAGCCGGCAUGAGAGGGUGACCGGACACAAGGGGACUGAGAGACGGACCAGACUCCUACGGGAGGCAGCAGUGGGGAAUAUUGCACAAUGGGCGGAAGCCUGAUGCAGAAACGCCGCGUGCGGGAUGACGGCCUUCGGGUUGUAAACCGCUUUAGCCUGUGACGAAGCGUGAGUGACGGUAAUGGGUAAAGAAGCACCGGCUAACUACGUG
rnacentral:rRNA from 1 species